AGACCCGGCCGGAACGCUGUUCUGUGCGGUCUCCAUGGAGGCGAGCCCUUCUACCCUUCACGCGCUGACAGCUUGUACCCCCCGUAGAUGGGGCGCUUCUCCUCGGGGCCUCCAGCCUGAGUGGCCGCUGCUGGGCCGGCUCCCUCUGGCUUUUUAAGGACCCCUGUGCCGCCCCCAACGAAGGCUUCUGCUCCGCCGGAGUCCAAACGGAGGCUGGAGUGGCUGACCUCACUUGGGUUGGGGAGAGAGGUAUUCUAGUGGCCUCCGAUUCAGGUGCUGUUGAAUUGUGGGAACUAGAUGAGAAUGAGACACUUAUUGUCAGCAAGUUCUGCAAGUAUGAGCAUGAUGACAUUGUGUCUACAGUCAGUGUCUUGAGCUCUGGCACACAAGCUGUCAGUGGUAGCAAAGACAUCUGCAUCAAGGUUUGGGACCUUGCUCAGCAGGUGGUACUGAGUUCAUACCGAGCUCAUGCUGCUCAGGUCACUUGUGUUGCUGCCUCUCCUCACAAGGACUCUGUGUUUCUUUCAUGCAGCGAGGACAAUAGAAUUUUACUCUGGGAUACCCGCUGUCCCAAGCCAGCAUCACAGAUUGGCUGCAGUGCACCUGGCUACCUUCCUACCUCACUGGCUUGGCAUCC
rnacentral:sRNA from 1 species